CCUACGGGUGGCAGCAGUGAGGAAUAUUGGUCAAUGGGCGCGAGCCUGAACCAGCCAAGUCGCGUGAGGGAAGACGGUCCUAUGGAUUGUAAACCUCUUUUGUCGGGGAGCAAAAGACGCCACGCGUGGCGUUCCGAGAGUACCCGACGAACAAGCAUCGGCUAACUCCGUGCCAGCAGCCGCGGUAAUACGGAGGAUGCGAGCGUUAUCCGGAUUUAUUGGGUUUAAAGGGUGCGCAGGCGGAAGAUCAAGUCAGCGGUAAAAUUGAGAGGCUCAACCUCUUCGAGCCGUUGAAACUGGUGUUCUUGAGUGAGUGAGAAGUAGGCGGAAGGCGUGGGGUAGCGGUGAAAUGCAUAGAUAUCACGCAGAACUCCGAUUGCGAAGGCAGCAUACCGGCGCUCAACUGACGCUCAUGCACGAAAGUGUGGGUAUCGAACAGGAUUAGAUACCCGAGUAGUC
rnacentral:rRNA from 1 species